GUGUCAGCCGCCGCGGUAAUACGUAGGUGGCAAGCGUUAUCCGGAAUUAUUGGGCGUAAAGCGCGCGCAGGUGGUUUCUUAAGUCUGAUGUGAAAGCCCACGGCUCAACCGUGGAGGGUCAUUGGAAACUGGGAGACUUGAGUGCAGAAGAGGAGAGUGGAAUUCCAUGUGUAGCGGUGAAGUGCGUAGAUAUAUGGAGGAACACCAGUGGCGAAGGCGGCUCUCUGGUCUGUAACUGACGCUGAGGCUCGAAAGCGUGGGGAGCAAACAGGAUUAGAAACCCCCGUAGUCC
rnacentral:rRNA from 1 species